GCAUUACAGGUGUGAGCAACCACACCUGGCCAAAUUUUCUCUGUUUAAUUGUCUUUAGAGACGAGCUCUUGCUCUGUCACCUAGGCUGGAGCGCAGUGGCUCAGCAAUAGUUCACUGCAGCCUUAAACUCCUGGACUCAAAUGAUCUUCCCACCUCAGCUUUCUGAGUAGGGAACAUGACAUCCUCUUCCCAGGGUACACCCACCUGCAGAGGGCCCAACCCCAUCACUGGAGCCACUGGAUUCUGAGGUGAGCUGGACUUGAGUGCAAUGGCACGAUCUCAGCUCACUGCAACCUUCACCUCCGAGGUUCCAGUAAUUCUCCUGGCUCAGCCUCCCAAGUAGCUGGGAUUACAGCUGAGUUCCUGUUCUAGGCUUCAUUCUGCAUGACCCAUCUCAGCAGGAUGGCCAGGGACCUCAUCCUCUGUGGCACCAAGGAAUUCAGCUUCAUGUAGCUCUCAGAUGCCUACAGGAUCCAUGGAGCACGUAACACAUCCUGAUGCUGUUCUCAGCCUUCUAUGGCCUCUUGGUCACCGUUUCCUACCAUCUGAGCUGGCAGAGCAGUGACCCAUCUGUGUUCAUGUCCUUCAUUCAAUGCAGACUGUUUCCUAAGUUUUUACAUCAAAAUCUGGAAGAGUCAGCUGCUGAUCCUCUCCCCAAGAAGU